GCAGGGAUCGCACAGUGGAAGUGCGCCACACUGCUAAUGUGGUGGGCUGUGAAGCCUCCGUGGGUUCGAUUCCCUCUCCCUGCA
rnacentral:tRNA from 10 species